CCCAGACAGCCAGGAUGUUGGCUUAGAAGCAGCCAUCAUUUAAAGAAAGCGUAAUAGCUCACUGGUCGAGUCGGCCUGCGCGGAAGAUGUAACGGGGCUAAACCAUGCACCGAAGCUGCGGCAGCGACGCUGAUGCGUUGUUGGGUAGGGGAGCGUUCUGUAAGCCCGUGAAGGUGGCCUGUGAGGGUUGCUGGAGGUAUCAGAAGUGCGAAUGCUGACAUAAGUAACGAUAAAGCGGGUGAAAAGCCCGCUCGCCGGAAGACCAAGGGUUCCUGUCCAACGUUAAUCGGGGCAGGGUGAGUCGACCCCUAAGGCGAGGCCGAAAGGCGUAGUCGAUGGGAAACGGGUUAAUAUUCCCGUACUUGGUGUUACUGCGAAGGGGGGACGGAGAAGGCUAUGUUGGCCGGGCGACGGUUGUCCCGGUUUAAGCGUGUAGGUGUGUGUUCCAGGUAAAUCCGGUUCACUUUAACACUGAGGCGUGACGACGAGGCACUACGGUGCUGAAGCAACAAAUGCCCUGCUUCCAGGAAAAGCCUCUAAGCAUCAGGUAACACGAAAUCGUACCCCAAACCGACACAGGUGGUCAGGUAGAGAAUACCAAGGCGCUUGAGAGAACUCGGGUGAAGGAACUAGGCAAAAUGGUGCCGUAACUUCGGGAGAAGGCACGCUGACACGUAGGUGA
rnacentral:rRNA from 1 species